UAAUACAUGCAAGUCGAACGAACUCUGGUAUUGAUUGGUGCUUGCAUCAUGAUUUACAUUUGAGUGAGUGGCGAACUGGUGAGUAACACGUGGGAAACCUGCCCAGAAGCGGGGGAUAACACCUGGAAACAGAUGCUAAUACCGCAUAACAACUUGGACCGCAUGGUCCGAGUUUGAAAGAUGGCUUCGGCUAUCACUUUUGGAUGGUCCCGCGGCGUAUUAGCUAGAUGGUGGGGUAACGGCUCACCAUGGCAAUGAUACGUAGCCGACCUGAGAGGGUAAUCGGCCACAUUGGGACUGAGACACGGCCCAAACUCCUACGGGAGGCAGCAGUAGGGAAUCUUCCACAAUGGACGAAAGUCUGAUGGAGCAACGCCGCGUGAGUGAAGAAGGGUUUCGGCUCGUAAAACUCUGUUGUUAAAGAAGAACAUAUCUGAGAGUAACUGUUCAGGUAUUGACGGUAUUUAACCAGAAAGCCACGGCUAACUACGUGCCAGCAGCCGCGGUAAUACGUAGGUGGCAAGCGUUGUCCGGAUUUAUUGGGCGUAAAGCGAGCGCAGGCGGUUUUUUAAGUCUGAUGUGAAAGCCUUCGGCUCAACCGAAGAAGUGCAUCGGAAACUGGGAAACUUGAGUGCAGAAGAGGACAGUGGAACUCCAUGUGUAGCGGUGAAAUGCGUAGAUAUAUGGAAGAACACCAGUGGCGAAGGCGGCUGUCUGGUCUGUAACUGACGCUGAGGCUCGAAAGUAUGGGUAGCAAACAGGAUUAGAUACCCUGGUAGUCCAUACCGUAAACGAUGAAUGCUAAGUGUUGGAGGGUUUCCGCCCUUCAGUGCUGCAGCUAACGCAUUAAGCAUUCCGCCUGGGGAGUACGGCCGCAAGGCUGAAACUCAAAGGAAUUGACGGGGGCCCGCACAAGCGGUGGAGCAUGUGGUUUAAUUCGAAGCUACGCGAAGAACCUUACCAGGUCUUGACAUACUAUGCAAAUCUAAGAGAUUAGACGUUCCCUUCGGGGACAUGGAUACAGGUGGUGCAUGGUUGUCGUCAGCUCGUGUCGUGAGAUGUUGGGUUAAGUCCCGCAACGAGCGCAACCCUUAUUAUCAGUUGCCAGCAUUAAGUUGGGCACUCUGGUGAGACUGCCGGUGACAAACCGGAGGAAGGUGGGGAUGACGUCAAAUCAUCAUGCCCCUUAUGACCUGGGCUACACACGUGCUACAAUGGAUGGUACAACGAGUUGCGAACUCGCGAGAGUAAGCUAAUCUCUUAAAGCCAUUCUCAGUUCGGAUUGUAGGCUGCAACUCGCCUACAUGAAGUCGGAAUCGCUAGUAAUCGCGGAUCAGCAUGCCGCGGUGAAUACGUUCCCGGGCCUUGUACACACCGCCCGUCACACCAUGAGAGUUUGUAACACCCAAAGUCGGUGGGGUAACCUUUUAGGAACCAGCCGCCUAAG
rnacentral:rRNA from 2 species